rnacentral:lncRNA from 1 species
GUCUUACUGGAAAGUGUGUCCCUGCUCAUUCCUUCUCUAUAGCCACCCAUUCCUACCCUCACACUCAGCUUUCAUUUGACUGAAGAGAGCUGUGUAGUCUCCCAACACAGUCUCUGUAGUUUCGUUUGGAAGAGCAGUUUCUUCAGACCUGAAUGUGCAGCCAGCUCUUAGCUGUGGGCUUCCUUUGUCAUCUCAAACCCAUAAUUACACCUGUGCUCCUCUACUUCUCCUGUGUCUUACAUAGUUCUCUGUGAUUUUAAACAUCUGGUUUUUUUUGUUUGUUUGUUUUUGUUUUUAUUCCUGUUUCCCUCCAUAAACUCUUAACUCCUUCAGCAUCCAGCUUGUCUCUUCUCCCUAGAAUGUGGAACAGAGAAGAAAGUAGUAGCUCAAUGCCUGCUGAACUGCAUAGAACAUAGUCCACAUUAGCAGAUAAAGUUGAGCUAGGACCACCAAACAUGCCUAUUAUUUACUAGGAUGAGACUCACUAGCAGGCUAUUCAUGAUCAUUGUGGGGAGGUUCAAUAACUCCUCAGGCACUUUCUACUCCUCCACAAGCAUUACCCCUGCCAUGGCACUGAUGUGAUGUCACCCUCUCCAUUCCUUUGGGUGUAUCAACACUUGUACUGGUUCAUACGUGUACUUCACUGUUACAUAAGGGGUAACAGCAGAGAUAUCACCAUAAAAGAUUGUUCUGUGCAUCCAGUUGUUAAAUUCCCCAUGCUCUGGGUCUACCUGUGCCAAUAUGCCUGCAUAGACUACUUGCUAGCAGGGUUAGUGACCACUGCAUUUUUAAAUAAUCUCUCCAUAUACUUCACAAGUAUUUACUCCAGCCUAUAGUAGGAUCAAGAAGGUGCCCUCAUAUUGCCAAAGCAUUGCUUAACAUCUUCAGUCAUCAUUUUUUUAAAGAACUUGUAUAGAAUAAUUAGUUCACUGGUCUUCAAACUCAAGAGAAGCUAAAAAACUGUUUUCAUCUGUUCCCAUCUCAGAAACAAUGGGCACUGAACAAUAUGACAAAAGAGAAGAGAGGGGGAAUAAAGAGAAAAAGGAAAAGAAAGAGAAAUCCAUUUGGGAUUGCUGAUGUUAGACUUGCAUAGCACAAAUGGUGUAUUCAUACCCACACACUCUGUUCUAUAGUGCCAGGUUAGCCCAUUCUUCUAUAACCCUACUUCACAGUUUGUAAUAGGAAAUAAGCAAGAUGAGACACAUCUUUAACUUAUUUUCUAGACAUUAAUGGCAUGAGACCAUUUCUCCCAAAUCUUAAUUUCUUCCAAAUAUCUUCCACAGAAAGCAUGGCUUCUGCAGUUCUGCAGUUCAAGUCCAAGACAACUUGACAUUUCAGCUACUAUUUACCAUCACUCAGAAUGAAGCUAGGCAUUUGAGUAAGACUGGGAAGGUCUCUCAAGAUCUCUUGUUUCCUAAUGUUCAUAACAGAUAUAGAUUCCAGAGUUCAUAAAACAUAAAAAGAAACACAGAGCACAUGUGUUUUAGAACAUACUAAAAACAAGACAGAAGGUAUCUUGUUUAACAUUAUAGAUGAUCUGAAUUAGGAAAUUAGGAAAACAACAUGGUGAUUUUUGGAAAGUUAACCACAACAAAGCACAUGGGUCUUUUGUGAUGAGAACAUUGUACCAUUGUAUCAUUCAAAUUACACAAAUGUGAGCUUUCACUUCAAAGUAGAAUUGACUCUCUCCACCUGAUCAUUCACCAACUCAAAUAUUCUUUGCUCCAGAACUAGCUAAGGAUCUUUACUACAAUCUAUGUUUAAAAUAUAUUCUAUAAAUGGUUUAAAAAUAAGAAGGACUAGCUUGGAAUGACUAUUAUGUUUUACCAGAGCAAACAUGUUAAAACCCUAUAGCUCUUAUGACAAAAUAAAAUACCUCCUCGUAGUUUUAAUAGAAAAGGCUUGUCAGGUACUGUACAAAACAUCAAUGUAUUGUUUUUCAUGUUUUCAGAAGUGAGCAGAAUGGGGUGGGUUUUAUGUAAGUUGGGCUGUAUUGGGAAGAGUUCACAGAAGUGAUUGCUAUUAUAAAUAACAACAGGAAAAAUUAUUUUUGGAGCAUAGAAUGAUGAAGAUUGAAAGCCAAGAAAUAGAAAGGGUAGCAGGUGAAAUAAUCAUGCAAGUAGAGGAACUGUGAGUCACAGGGAAAAAAUGUUACUUAUAUACAUUGUUGCCUAGGGCUACCCUAGGCAUGCUUAUUUGGAAAGGAAAGUUUUCUGAAAAUGAUCUGCAGUAAACAAUCUGAACACAUUUUCAGAAUGCCACUGGUAAUAGUCCCAGCAAGUGGACCUUUUUUUGCUACAAAUUGGGUCAUAAUUAUCACGACCUUCAUUUCAGACCACUUUCUUCCUUACUGAUGGAUUGCCACAGCCUCCACACGAAAUGAGUAUUGAUUUAAUAUUUGGCGACCUUAAGCAAUAUCUGUUACAAAGGUGGCACCUGGGCUGUGGUAUCCACCAACCCUUGUGUAAUGGAAGGGCUUGGAUUCCCUUCAUCUUCACAGGUUCAUAACACCCAUCAGCUAGCUUGCUUUCUUAUUCUUGCUUUUUCAAAAAAAAAAAUUGUUUGUGCCACUGUAGAGUGUUUUUUUUUCCUAUAUAAAUAUUUGCAGCAAUUCUGAACUCCCUCAAACCAUCCAUAGAGGAUAAAUACCAUGCUGUUUAUAGCAUUAAAUUUGUGCAAAAAUGCUACACAGCAUUUUUCAUUUGGUGUUUU